rnacentral:rRNA from 1 species
UGACGGUAUCUAACCAGCAAGUCACGGCUAACUACGUGCCAGCAGCCGCGGUAAUACGUAGGUGGCAAGCGUUAUCCGGAUUUAUUGGGCGUAAAGGGAACGCAGGCGGUUUUUUAAGUCUGAUGUGAAAGCCUUCGGCUUAACCGGAGAAUAGCAUUGGAAACUGGAAGACUUGAGUGCAGAAGAGGAGAGUGGAACUCCAUGUGUAGCGGUGAAAUGCGUAGAUAUAUGGAAGAACACCAGUGGCGAAAGCGGCUCUCUGGUCUGUAACUGACGCUGAGGCUCGAAAGCGUGGGGAGCAAACAGGAUUAGAUACCCUG